rnacentral:rRNA from 1 species
AGCGAACGCUGGCGGCAGGCCUAACACAUGCAAGUCGAACGAACUCUUCGGAGUUAGUGGCGGACGGGUGAGUAACACGUGGGAAUGUGCCUUUAGGUUCGGAAUAACUCAGGGAAACUUGUGCUAAUACCGCAUUUGCCCUUCGGGGGUAAGAUUUAUCGCCUUUAGAGCGGCCCGCGUCUGAUUAGCUAGUUGGUGAGGUAACGGCUCACCAAGGCGACGAUCAGUAGCUGGUCUGAGAGGAUGGCCAGCCACACUUGGACUGAGACACGGCCCAGACUCCUACGGGAGGCAGCAGUGGGGAAUCUUGCGCAAUGGGCGAAAGCCUGACGCAGCCAUGCCGCGUGAAUGAUGAAGGUCUUAGGAUUGUAAAAUUCUUUCACCGGGGACGAUAAUGACGGUACCCGGAGAAGAAGCCCCGGCUAACUUCGUGCCAGCAGCCGCGGUAA